GACGAACGCUGGCGGCGUGCUUAACACAUGCAAGUCGAACGGAAAGGCCCUUCGGGGUACUCGAGUGGCGAACGGGUGAGUAACACGUGGGUGAUCUGCCCUGCACUUUGGGAUAAGCCUGGGAAACUGGGUCUAAUACCGAAUAUGAUCAUCAGCUUCAUGGUUGGUGGUGGAAAGCUUUUGCGGUGUGGGAUGGGCCCGCGGCCUAUCAGUUUGUUGGUGGGGUAAUGGCCUACCAAGGCGACGACGGGUAGCGGGCCUGAGAGGGUGACCGGCCACACUGGGACUGAGAUACGGCCCAGACUCCUACAGGAGGCAGCAGUGGGGAAUAUUGCACAAUGGGCGCAAGCCUGAUGCAGCGACGCCGCGUGAGGGAUGACGGCCUUCGGGUUGUAAACCUCUUUCAGCACAGACGAAGCGCAAGUGACGGUAUGUGCAGAAGAAGGACCGGCCAACUACGUGCCAGCCGCCGCGGUAACAC
rnacentral:rRNA from 1 species